rnacentral:rRNA from 1 species
UACAGAGGUCUCAAGCGUUGUUUCGGAUUCAUUGGGCGUAAAGGGCGCGUAGGCUGCGGGGUAAGUCGGGUGUGAAAUCUCAGGGCUCAACCCUGAAACUGCACUCGAUACUGCUCUGCUUGAGGACUGGAGAGGAGACUGGAAUUCACGGUGUAGCAGUGAAAUGCGUAGAUAUCGUGAGGAAGACCAGUGGCGAAGGCGGGUCUCUGGACAGUUCCUGACGCUGAGGCGCGAAGGCCAGGGGAGCAAAGCGGG